rnacentral:rRNA from 1 species
CGGCACGGGUGAGUAACACGUAUCCAACCUGCCGUCUACUCUUGGCCAGCCUUCUGAAAGGAAGAUUAAUCCAGGAUGGCAUCAUGAGUUCACAUGUCCGCAUGAUUAAAGGUAUUUUCCGGUAGACGAUGGGGAUGCGUUCCAUUAGAUAGUAGGCGGGGUAACGGCCCACCUAAUCAACGAUGGAUAGGGGUUCUGAGAGGAAGGUCCCCCACAUUGGAACUGAGACACGGUCCAA